ACGGGUGAGUAACACGUAAGGAAUCUGCCCUGAAGCGGGGAAUAACUAUCCCAACGGAUAGCUAAUACCGCAUAAUGAUGGAGGUGGCAUCACCUCUUCUCAAAAGGCUUCGGCCACUUCAGGAUGACCUUGCGUCCCAUUAGCUUGUUGGCGGUGUAACGGACCACCAAGGCGACGAUGGGUAUCCGGCCUGAGAGGGUGUACGGACACAUUGGGACUGAGAUACGGCCCAGACUCCUACGGGAGGCAGCAGUAGGGAAUUUUGCGCAAUGGGGGAAACCCUGACGCAGCAACGCCAUGUGUGGGAUGAAGCAUUUCGGUGUGUAAACCACUGUCAGCAGGGAAUAAAAGGCCUUAUGGGCAUUUGAAUGUACCUGCGAAGGAAGCCCCGGCUAACUUUGUGCCAGCAGCCGCGGUAAUACGAGGGGGGCAAAUGUUGUUCGGAAUCACUGGGCGUAAAGGGAGCGUAGGCGGGUUUCUAAGUCAGGUGUUUAAUCCCGGGGCCCAACCCCGGACAGGCACUUGAAACUGGGAAUCUUGAAUAGUGGAGAGGUCAGUGGAAUUGGGGGUGUAGCGGUGGAAUGCGUAGA
rnacentral:rRNA from 1 species